ACCGUGGUCCCCAGACCGGGCCGUGGUCCCCCAGACCGGGCCGUGGUCCCCCAGACCGGGUCGUGCUCCUCCAGACCGGGCCACGGUCCCCCAGCCGGGCCGUGGUCCCCCAGACCGGGCCGUGGUCCUCCAGGACUGUCCGGGACAUGAAGGAGGACGCUGAGACCGGGCACACCCGAGGGACGUUGCCUGAGUCCUUAAGAACUUUUAUUAAGUCUAGUACUUCAACACGCAGCAGUGUGGCUCCCACCGUUCUCCUUUAAUACGUCAUAAGCUUUAAGACCGCGUAGGACAUAACAUUGGGAUAUAUUUAAGUGUUUGCAUAGUUACUAAAGUGCAGAUGAUGGACAAUGGGCAUUAGAAACAGAACAAAGCAAAGCACUUUUUAAAGAUAUAUUACUCGAUAUGGGGCCUGUGUAUUUCUGUGACAUAAUGAUGUGAUGAUCUACUAAGAAAUUUGUAUAUUUGCUGAUGCUAUAUUUAUUUGGUGCCUGUAUUUUUUUAAGUUAUUAUUGAAAGUUUUUUUUACAUUUCAACAAUAUUGCUCCUUUUUACGCUCAGUGUCAUUCAUUUCACAAAACGUUUCACGGGCAGAAGAUAAAUACAAAGAAAGGAUACUCGGUCUAAACUGAUUUGUUCUUUCCUUUUAGCCGAGGGAGUUGGCCCAAGACCUUAUGUGUUAUUUUUGCCACAAUAUAAACCCCAAAGAUAGACUCCAUAAUCCCAAGAAUUCAAAAAACAGAGAAAUGUAUUUUGUUUAAUGUGUAUAUGAUUGUUUUAUUUGUUGUAACUGUUUUUAAAGAAAAGUGACAGAAACUCUAGCACAUUGUUGGUCAUUACAAACUUACCGAGGUCCACUGAUAGAAGGUGGUGCUAUUGGACACUGCUGUUUAACGUCCGACUGACACUGAGAAGAAGGGAAUGCUAGCAACAUAGGGAAGAUUUAUUUAGACAUCACUGGUAGCAAAAACACUUUGUUUUUCCCACUAACUACAUUUAUUUUAUUUAAACAUGCGUUUUUUAUCAUCUCAGUUUCCCUCCUGUGUCACUCAUCUAGUAAACCAGCUUUCCUGGAGCCCCGCUGAACUCACAACCCAGUGCGGAGAAAUAGUGCAAGCGCUAAUUUAUUGAACCCAUACAAACUCCUCUUCUAGAUGCGCAUUGUUUCAGCAGGCAGCUUAAGAGCUGCGUGUGUGAAUGGCUGCCAAACAUCUAUAGGUAGAGGAAUAUAAAGGCCUGUCAUCCUAUACCUGCGGGCAGGGGAGGCAUCCUGGCCUCACAAAGGCCCCUCCCAUGGGGGGCCUGGGAAGCAGCGUCCCAGGACUGCUCGGCCUUUCUGUGGGAAAGACCGAAUGUGUGGAGUCCAUAAACAAGGAGAGCAGGUCCACAAGCAGCAGAGAGCCGCUCACACCCUGGGCCACGGGGUGCCAUGGCGUCUUAUUAACACGUUUUAUAUCAUAUAUCUUACCCUACUACUGGGGAAAUGUUGUGGAGCCCCUUCCCCGACGGUCCCCUAUCGGGGCCCUCCUGCUAUGACUGGCCUGGUGGUGGUAAAGCAACCCCCCUUUAAGUCACUAAUGGGUGGGUGGGUAACAGUACUAUUGAUAAGGAGGACCCUGGAGGCAUCUGGAUACGAGUAACAUAAUGGCCUGAUCGCUUUGUCUCGAAUAUUCAGAAUAGAAGAUGCGAGGAGAGCAGUUGGUCUAAAGUUUUGCGGAGGCUCUGGAUUAACGAGGCUGCACUAGGCUGUGUGGUCACAGGACACCAGUCAGGGCUGAGGUUCAAAGGGACACUCUGUCUGUGCUUUAGACUGGUUUACCAGCGUAAAAUAUUAGAGUCUGUCAUCGUUUGUUCAAAUAAAUGAUCAUGAUGUUCAUAUAUGUAGAUGUCGAGAUGAUUAAUAAACAGAAUAAUGAUAAAUGAU
ensembl:lncRNA